AAUUUGCCUAUUGCAGACUCAAAGGACAAGACUGACAUUGCAAUUCCAUGCGAUACCAGCAAUGAUAUUGCUGACUAUGCAACAGUUGAGGAAAAACCUGAAGAACCAGUAGUUGAAGAAAAACAUGAAGAACCUGCAAUUGAAAAGAAAUUUGAAGAACCAGCAGUUAUGGAGAAACCUGAAGAACCAGCGGCAAAGGUAAAACCUGAAGAACCAGCAGGGAAAGAAAAACCUGAAGAGCCAACGGCUGGGGAAAAACCUGAAGAACCAGCAGCAAAUGAGGAACCUGAAAAAUCAGCGAUGAAAGAGAAACCUGAAGAACCAAUUGUUGAGGAGAAACUUGAAGAACCAACUGUUGAAGAGAAACCUGAAAAACCACUGAUUGAAGAAACACCUGAAGAACCAACAUGGGAAGAAACACCUAAAGAACUAGCAUUUGAAGAGAAACCAGAAGAACCAGCAGUUGAAGAGGAGAAACCUGAAAAGGUAACUCUUAUGGAAGAGGUGAGUAUCAAGCAUUAUCACAUAGUUUAUCCAUCUAUGUGCAACAAUUCACAUAUGCUUAUCUAUUGAAAGACUAAAUGAAACUUUAAAUUCUUCUUGCAGAAUAUGCCAGCUGUAGAUUUCAACGACAAGACUGACCGUGAAAUUCAAUGCAAUAACAAUGAUGUUGCUGAAUAUGUAGCAGUUGAGGAAAACCUUGAACCAGCAGUUGAAGAAAAACAUGAAGAACCAACAGUUGAGGAGAAACCUGAAGAACUAGCAGUUGAAGAGAAACCCGAAAAACCAACAAUUGAGGAGAAACCUGAAGAACUAGCAGUUGAAGAGAAACCCGAAAAACCAACAAUUGAGGAGAAACAUGAAGAACCAAUAGUUGAGAAGAAACCUGAAGAAUCAAUAAUUGAAAAGGAGAAAUCUGAAAGGGUAACUUUCCUAGAAAAGGUGAGGAUCAAGCAUUGUCAAAAGGUUUAUCCAUCUUAUUACUAUUAGUUGUGUAUGUGCAACAAUUCACAUCUGCUUACCUAUUGAAAGACCAAGUGAAACUUCAAAAUUCUUCUUGCAGAGUAUGCUAGUUGUAGACUCGAACGACAAGACUGACAGUGAACUUCCAUGCAAUACCAACAACGAUGCUGCCCACUUUCCAGAAGUUGAGGGAAACCCCGAAGAACCAGCAAUUGAAGGAAAAUCUAAAGAACUUGUUGAUGAAGAGACACCUGAUGUACCAGUGGUUGAGAAACCUGAAAAACAAAUGGUUGAGGAGAAACUUGAAGAACCAAUGAUUGAGGAGAAAUCUGACGAACUAGUCGAGGAGAAAUCUCAACAACCAGCGGCUGAAAAGAAACCUGAAGAACCAGCAGCUAAAGAAUCACCUAAAGAGGUAGCAGGGGAGGAAACAUCUGAAGAACUAGCACUUGAAGAGAAACUUAAAGAACCAACAGUUGAAGAGAUACCUAAAGAACUAGUUCUUGAAGAUAAACCUGGAAACCCAGAAAAUGAAGAGGAUAAACUUGAAACAGUAACUCUCCAGGAAAAGGUAAGAAACAAGCAGUGUCACAGAGUUUAUCCAUCCUAUUAGCUCUAUAUAUGCAACGAAUUCACAUCUGUUUAUCCACUGAAAGACCAAGUGAAACUUUAAAUUUUCUUGCAGAAUUUACCAAUUGCAGACUCAAAGGACAAGACUGACAAUGCAACUCCCUACAACAACAAUGAUAUUGCUGACUAUGUAGCAGUUAAGGAAAAAACUGAAGAACCAGUAGUUGAGGAAAAACAUGAAGAACCGGCAAUUGAAGAGAAAUCUGAAGAAUCAGCAUUAAUGAAAAAAACUGAAGAACCAGCGGUUGAGGUAAAACCUGAAGAACCGUCAGUGGAAAAGAAGCCUGAAGAACCAGCGGUUAGGAAAAAACCUGAAGAACCAGCAGUUAAUGAGGAACCUGAAAAAUCAGCAACGGAAGAGAAACCUGAAGAACCAAUUGUUGAGGAGAAACUUGAAGAACCAACUCUUGAAGAGAAACCUGGAAAAUCAGUAAUUGAAGAAACACCUGAAGAACCAACACUGGAAGUAACACCUAAAGAACAAGCGUUUAAAGAGAAACCAGAAGAACCAGCAGUUGAAGAGGAAAAAUCUGACAAGGUAACUCUUUUGGAAAAGGUGAGCAUCAAACAUUGUCACAAAUUUUAGCCAUCCUACUAGUUCUGUAUGUGCAAUAAUUCGUAUCAACUUAUCUAUUGAAAGACUAAGUGAAACUUUAAUUCUUCUUGCAGAAUAUACCAGUUGUAGAUUUCAAUGAUAAGACUGACAGUGUAAUUCCAUGCAAUACCAACGACGAUGUUGCUGAAUACGUAGCAGUUGAGGAAAACCUUGAAGAACCAACAGUUGAGGAGAAACCUGAAGAAUUAGCGGUUGAAGAGAAACCUGAAAAACCAGCAAUUGAGGAGAAAAGUGAAGAACCAAUAAUUGAGAAGAAACCUAAAGAACCAGCAGUUGAGGAGAAACCUGAAGAACAAACCGUUGAAGAGAAACUUGAAGAACCAACAAUUGAAGAUGAGAAACUUGAAAGGGUAACUCUCCUAGAAAAGGUGAGGAUCUAGCAUUGUCACAAAGUUUGUCCAUCCUAAUAGUUUUAUAUGUGCAAGCUUUUCAGAUCUGCUUAUCUAUUGAAAGACUAAGUGAAACUUUAAAUUCUUCUUACAGAAUAUGCCAGUUGUAGACUCGAACGACAAGACUGACUGUGAAAUUCCAUGCAACACCAACAAUGAUGUUGCUUACUAUCCAGCAGUUGAGGAAAAUCUUGAAAAAACAACAAUUGAGGAAACAACUGAUGAACCAGUGGUUGAAGAGAAACCUGAUGCACAAGCGAUUAAGGAGAAACCUGAAGUACCAACGAUUGAGCAGAAACUUGAAGAGUUAGCAGGAGAGGAAACCCAUGAAGAACUAGCAGUUGAAGAGAAGCUAGAAGAACCAAUUACUGAAGAGACACCUGCAGAACUAGUUAUUGAAGAGAAACAUGAAAACCCAACAAUUGAAGAGGAGAAACCUGAAACAGAAGCUCUCCUAAAGAAGGUUAGGAUUAAACACUGUUUCAAAAUUUAUCCAUCCUAUUAGCUUUAUAUGUGCAAGGAACUCACAUAUGUUAAUCUACUGAAAGACUAAGUCAAACUUUCAAGUUUUCUUGCAGAAUAUGCCAAUUGUAGACUCAAAGGACAAGAUUGACGUUGAAAGUCCAGGCAAUAACAACAAUGAUGGUGCUGACUAUCCAGCAGUUGAAGAUAAACCUGAAGAACUAACAGUUGAAGAAAAACAUGAAGAACAAGCAAUUGAAGAGAAACCUGAAGAACCAGUGGCCACAGAGAAACCUGAAGAACCAGCGAUUAAGGAAAAAGCUGAUGAACCAGCAGUGCAAGAGAAACCUGAAGAACCAGCUGUGGAAAAGAAACCUGAAGAACCAGCAGUCGAGGAGAAACUUGACGAACCACCAGUUGAAGAGAAAUCAGAAGAACCAGUAGUUGAACAAACACCUGCAGGACCAGCAUGGGAAGAAACAUCUAAAGAACUAGCAUUUGAAGAGAAACCUGAAGAACCAGCAGUUGAAAAAACACCUGAAGAACUAGCAGUUGGAAAGAACCCUGAAAAAACAGCAGUCGGAGAGAAACAUGAAAAAGUAACUCUCUUGGAAAAGGUGAGGAUCAAGCACAAUCACAAAUUUUAUCCAUCCUAUUAGUUAUGUAUGCGCAACAAUUCACAUUUGCCUGUUGGAAGAUUAAGUUAAACUUUAAAUUCUUCUUGCAGAAUAUACCAAUUAUAGAGUUAAACGAGAAGAAUAACAGUGCAACUCCAUGCAAUACCAACAAUGAUGUUGCUGACUAUCCAGCAGUUGAGGAAAAACCUGAAGAACCAGCGAUUGAGAAAAAACCUGAAGAACCAAUGGCUAAGGAGAAACUUGAAGAACCAAUUGUUGAGGAUAAACCUGAAAAAUCAGUGAUAGAGGAGAAAUCUGAAAAACUAGCAACUGAAGAAACACUUGGAGAGCAAGCAGGGGAGGAAACACCUGAAGCACUAGCAGUUGAAGAGAAACCUGACAAAUCAACAGUUGAAGAGACAGUUGAAGAACUAGCUAUUGAACAGAAACCUAAAAAAACAGCAGUUGAAAAAGAGAAACCUGAAGCCGUAACUCUCCUGGAAAAGGUGAUCAAGCACUGUCACAGAGAUUCCUUGCUCUAUACGUGCAAGGAAUUUACAUCUACUUAUCUACUGAAAGAUUUAGUGAAACUUUAAAUUCUUCUUGCAGAAUAUGCCAGUUGUAGAUUCAAAGGACAAGAUUAACAGUGAAAUUCCAUGCAAUGCCAACAAUGAUGUUUUUGACUAUCCAGCAGUUGAGGCAAAACCUGAAGAACUAGCAAUUGAAAAAAAAUAUGAAGAACCAGUAGUUAUAUUGGAGAAACCUGCAGAACUAGCAGUUGAGGAGACACCUGAAAAAUCAGUAGUUGAAGAGAAGCCUGAAAAACCAGCAGCACGGGAAGAAGCACUUGAAGAACCAGCAUGGGAAGAAACACCUGAAGAACCAACAGUUGAAGAGAAACUUGAUAAACCAGCAACUGAAAAAGAGAA
rnacentral:lncRNA from 1 species